rnacentral:rRNA from 1 species
GACGAACGCUGGCGGCGUGCUUAACACAUGCAAGUCGAACGGAAAGGCCCUGCUUUUGUGGGGUGCUCGAGUGGCGAACGGGUGAGUAACACGUGAGUAACCUGCCCUUGACUUUGGGAUAACUUCAGGAAACUGGGGCUAAUACCGGAUAGGAGCUCCUGCUGCAUGGUGGGGGUUGGAAAGUUUCGGCGGUUGGGGAUGGACUCGCGGCUUAUCAGCUUGUUGGUGGGGUAGUGGCUUACCAAGGCUUUGACGGGUCGCCGGCCUGAGAGGGUGACCGGCCACAUUGGGACUGAGAUACGGCCCAGACUCCUACGGGAGGCAGCAGUGGGGAAUAUCGCACAAUGGGCGGAAGCCUGAUGCAGCAACGCCGCGUGCGGGAUGACGGCCUUCGGGUUGUAAACCGCUUUCGCCUGUGACGAAGCGUGAGUGACGGUAAUGGGUAAAGAAGCACCGGCUAACUACGUG